CGCGUAGGCGGCAAGACAUGUGUGGUGUGAAAGCCCCGGGCUUAACCUGGGAAGUGCAUUGCAAACUGUCUGGCUGGAGUACAUGAGAGGGUGGCGGAAUUUCCGGUGUAGCGGUGAAAUGCGUAGAGAUCGGAAGGAACGUCAAUGGCGAAGGCAGCCACCUGGCAUGAUACUGACGCUGAGGCGCGAAGGCGUCGGGAGCGAACA
rnacentral:rRNA from 1 species